AUGGAUUCUCAUGACACACACAACCAGCUUCCUACCAAAAACCCUCUGGUCUUUGCGGAGGGUUUCAAUCCUGAUCCUGGGAUUGAGAUCAAUAUGCAAGGUCUAUCCAUCCAAGAUCCACAAGUUAUACACAUCCAGGCUCACCAACAUCAUUCAGAUCAGGCCAAGGAAAGAGGUAGUGAUGCAGCUUACAACAUCUUGAUGAAGCUGGCUGUUACUGGAGGACAGCCAAGAACACUCUCUCUCAUCGUAGUUCAGCAAUCUAUGGCCAGAGCAUGGAGGGAGAACUAUCACGACAGCCAUGGAGUAUGGGAUCUGAUAAUUUUUUGGUCAAGUUCAUGGAUCCUAAAGAUCACAGUAAGGAUAUUCAGGAUUACAAGUUUGACACCAUUUUCAUUACUGUUUGUAUUUAUGGUGUCCCUGCUCGUUUCCGUUCUCAAGAACUGCUGCUAA
rnacentral:rRNA from 1 species